rnacentral:snoRNA from 1 species
AUUAUUCUCAAGCAUGAUGAUUGGGUGUUUAUGUGCACAUGUGAGAUGUACCUUCUUCAAAUCCUGUUUUGGUGGCACCCAUCUGACC